AUCUGGCUCAGAACGAACGCUGGCGGCGCGUCUUAAGCAUGCAAGUCGAACGGCAAGAGGUAGCAAUACCUCCUAGAGUGGCGGACUGGUGAGUAACACGUGGGUGACAUACCCUUCAGAUGGGGAUAGCUAUAGAAAUAGUAGAUAAUACCGAAUACGAGCACAGGGGUUAGAGAUCUGUGAGGAAAGGAGCUAAGGCUCCGCUGAAGGAAUGGCCUGCGGCCCAUUAGCUAGUUGGUGAGGUAAGAGCCCACCAAGGCGAUGAUGGGUAUCCGGCCUUAGAGGGUGAACGGACACAUUGGGACUGAGAUACGGCCCAGACUCCUACGGGAGGCAGCAGCUAAGAAUAUUCCGCAAUGGACGAAAGUCUGACGGAGCGACGCCGCGUGGAUGAAAAGAAGGCCGGAAGGUUGUAAAAUCCUUUUGAAACUGAAGAAUAAGCGUUGUAGGGAAUGACAGCGUGGUGACAGUAGGUUUUGAAUAAGCAACGGCUAAUUACGUGCCAGCAGCUGC
rnacentral:rRNA from 1 species